UAGGGAAUCUUCCGCAAUGGACGAAAGUCUGACGGAGCAACGCCGCGUGAGUGAAGAAGGAUUUCGGUUCGUAAAACUCUGUUGUUAGGGAAGAAAAAAUGUAUAGUAACUAUAUACAAAAGAGACGGUACCUAACCAGAGAGCCACGGCUAACUACGUGCCAGCAGCCGCGGUAAUACGUAGGUGGCAAGCGUUGUCCGGAAUUAUUGGGCGUAAAGCGCGCGCAGGUGGUUUAGAAAGUCUGAUGUGAAAGCCCACGGCUCAACCGUGGAGGGUCAUUGGAAACUAAUAAACUUGAGUGCAGGAGAGAAAAGUGGAAUUCCGAGUGUAGCGAUGAAAUGCGUAGAGAUUAGGAGGAACGCCGGUGGCGAAAGCGGCUUUUUGGCCUGCAACUGACACUGAGGCGCGAAAGCGUGGGGAGCAAACAGG
rnacentral:rRNA from 1 species